rnacentral:misc_RNA from 1 species
GAUGAAGAACGUAGCGAAAUGCGAUAAGUAAUGUGAAUUGCAGAAUUCAGUGAAUCAUCGAAUCUUUGAACGCACAUUGCGCCCGCCAGUAUUCUGGCGGGCAUGCCUGUUCGAGCGUCAUUUCAACCAUCAAGCCCCAGGCUUGUGUUGGGGACCUGCGGCUGCCGCUGGCCCUGAAAACCAGUGGCGGGCUCGCUGUCACACCGGGCGUAGUAGAUUUUAUCUCGCUCAGGGCGUGCUGCGGGUUCCGGCCGUUAAAAAGCCUUUUUUACCCAAGGUUGACCUCGGAUCAGGUAGGAAGACCCGCUGAACUUAAGCAUAUCAAUAAGCGGAGGA